UACGGGGGGGGCAAGCGUUGUUCGGAAUUACUGGGCGUAAAGGGCUCGUAGGUGGCCAACUAAGUCAGACGUGAAAUCCCUCAGCUUAACUGGGGAACUGCGUCUGAUACUGGAUGGCUUGAGUUCGGGAGAGGGAUGUGGAAUUCCAGGUGUAGCGGUGAAAUGCGUAGAUAUCUGGAGGAACACCGGUGGCGAAGGCGGCAUCCUGGACCGACACUGACGCUGAUGAGCGAAAGCCAGGGGAGCAAACGGG
rnacentral:rRNA from 1 species